rnacentral:lncRNA from 1 species
GAAAAGAUUUUUAUUACCGGUAACAUGAUCAGACGCACCAGAAUCAAGGACCCAAGAUCCAAGAGAAGAUGAUUGAGAGAGACAAGCAGAUGAAUUACCAGUGUGUGCUACCGAAGCAGUAGAAUCUAAGUUCUGAUAAUUCUGAUACCACCUGAGAAAAUCAUCGUAGUUUGGCGUAAAGUUACGAGGAGUAGCCAUGAGUAUCGGAUCUGAAACAAUUGUCCUAUGGAGAGUGGAGCGGUGGGAAAAUUGUCGGGAUCGACCGUCGGAGGUGCUGUCACGUGCGGAGGUUUCUGCCGAUGAAAAGUGGGGAGCGGCUGGAUCGGAAGAGGCGCUUUUGCAGGCGCUUUUGCUGGUUGGUUACCGGAGAAUUUUGAAAAGUGAGAGGCAAACCGGAAUGAUGACACGGUUUGCAAAAAAAAAUAAUAAUAAUAAUAAUAAUAAUAAUUCACCGGA